GAGGAAGUGGUUUUGCUGUUUUGUGUCU
rnacentral:piRNA from 1 species